rnacentral:rRNA from 1 species
UACGUAGGGGGGCAAGCGUUGUUCGGAAUUACUGGGCGUAAAGGGCUCGUAGGCGGCCAACUAAGUCGGAUGUGAAAUCCCCAGGCUUAACCUGGGAACUGCAUCCGAUACUGGAUGGCUUGAAUCCGGGAGAGGGAUGCAGAAUUCCAGGUGUAGCGGUGAAAUGCGUAGAUAUCUGGAGGAAUACCGGUGGCGAAGGCGGCAUCCUGGACCGGCAUUGACGCUGAUGAGCGAAAGCUAGGGGAGCAAACGGG